rnacentral:rRNA from 1 species
GAAAGGCGCUUUUGCGUCACUGAUGGAUGGACCCGCGGUGCAUUAGCUAGUUGGUGAGGUAACGGCUCACCAAGGCCACGAUGCAUAGCCGACCUGAGAGGGUGAUCGGCCACACUGGGACUGAGACACGGCCCAGACUCCUACGGGAGGCAGCAGUAGGGAAUCUUCGGCAAUGGACGAAAGUCUGACCGAGCAACGCCGCGUGAGUGAAGAAGGUUUUCGGAUCGUAAAACUCUGUUGCUAGAGAAGAACAAGGAUGAGAGUAGAACGUUCAUCCCUUGACGGUAUCUAACCAGAAAGCCACGGCUAACUACGUGCCAGCAGCCGCGGUAAUACGUAGGUGGCAAGCGUUGUCCGGAUUUAUUGGGCGUAAAGCGAGCGCAGGCGGUUUCUUAAGUCUGAUGUGAAAGCCCCCGGCUCAACCGGGGAGGGUCAUUGGAAACUGGGAGACUUGAGUGCAGAAGAGGAGAGUGGAAUUCCAUGUGUAGCGGUGAAAUGCGUAGAUAUAUGGAGGAACACCAGUGGCGAAGGCGGCUCUCUGGUCUGUAACUGACGCUGAGGCUCGAAAGCGUGGGGAGCGAACAGGAUUAGAUACCCUGGUAGUCCACGCCGUAAACGAUGAGUGCUAAGUGUUGGAGGGUUUCCGCCCUUCA